CCCCCCAAAAUCCCACCAGCAUUUUGCUUUCACCCUUCGCAAAUCUCCACCUGUUUUUCAUCUUGUCUCACUCGCCUCCCUCCUCCUCCGGUUCGGUGUUCCUCCCGGCUGCACGUGUUUCUCACACGUUCAUAUCGUCUGCUUAUCUCCAGUUGUCUCAAGACUUUUAUACGCUCGGGAGGGCGGGAAACAAAACACAUAACACUUUUGUGCGUACAGUGCUAAGUGAAUGGCAGGCGAUCGCCUAGUGUUUCCAGAGCCGUGAGAACAUGAAGUGUUUCAGAGGCUGCAGUAGUCAUUCAGAGGUUGUAGAAGUCAAAUGUAGUGAAUGGCAGGCGAUCGCCUAGUGUUUCCAGAGCCGUGAGAACAUGAAGUGUCUCAGAGGCUGCAGUAGUCAUUCAGAGGUUGUAGAAGUCAAAAGUAGUCAUUCAGAGGUUGCAGAAGUCAAAAGUGGUCAUUCAGAGGUUGUAGAAGUCAAAAGUGGUCAUUCAGAAGUUGGAUAAGAUACAGUAAAAUGGUCAUUCAGAGGUUGUAGAAAACGAAAUAUAUUAGUCAUUCAGAUGUUGCAAAAAGCAAAAAAAAAAAAAAACAA